CCUACGGGUGGCAGCAGUCGAGAAUCAUUCACAAUGGGGGAAACCCUGAUGGUGCGACGCCGCGUGGGGGAAUGAAGGUCUUCGGAUUGUAAACCCCUGUCAUGUGGGAGCAAAUUAAAAAGAUAGUACCACAAGAGGAAGAGACGGCUAACUCUGUGCCAGCAGCCGCGGUAAUACAGAGGUCUCAAGCGUUGUUCGGAAGCACUGGGCGUAAGGCGUGCGUAGGCUGUUUCGUAAGUCGUGUGUGAAAGGCGCGGGCUCAACCCGCGGACGGCACAUGAUACUGCGAGACUAGAGUAAUGGAGGGGGAACCGGAAUUCUCGGUGUAGCAGUGAAAUGCGUAGAUAUCGAGAGGAACACUCGUGGCGAAGGCGGGUUCCUGGACAUUAACUGACGCUGAGGCACGAAGGCCAGGGGAGCGAAAGGGAUUAGAUACCCCAGUAGUC
rnacentral:rRNA from 1 species